GCUUUGCUCUGCACUUGUUCCACUGACAAAGGACUUCUUCCAGCUCUGAUUUUUCUGCAUUCAGGACCAGUUUUAGCUUGAAAACACUGUUGCAUAGCGGGAAGUUGUGUUCCUUAGACAUUUAUUAUUUCAAAUUCAUCACAUAGGUACAAAGUCAAAACCAUUUUCAUCUGUAAUUUCUUGCUGUAAUGCUAUUCAAGAGAACCCUUUAAAAAAUUGUUAAAAUUUAAAUACUGGGGUUUUUUUUCUAUUAGAGUGGUUUAGAAAAUAUGAAAAAUUUGUAAUUAAACCCCUGAAAAUAAACACCCUCCCAAUAGUUUUCAGGGCUAAUACUUGGUAGAUAUUUACCUGGGAAGGCCACUGUUAAAAGCUGGGAUUUAUGUGCCUUUAGAGUGUUUCUAUGAAGUGGUGACAAGCUGACAGCUUGCCUAGCAGUAACUGCAUUCAGACAGGAAAAUGUAGACUGCUAAGUAAAUAAAACUAUGUCCACUCUUCUGUUGAAAUACCUUGAAGAUUUUGUACUGGGAGAACAGGUUUUAUCUGAGAUGGGGUUACCAAUUAUUCCAUUAAAUGUGCUGAAAAUUAAUGUCUUAAAGGCUGUUACCCCUGUGCUGACUUUAUUUAAGCUAGACAAUGAGUUAAGUUGUUAUUACAAGGACUGAUAGACACACAGGUACAGUAAUUGCUUAAGCCUCAUUUCAUUAGUGAAUUAGGCCAAAAAUAGGAUGGAAAAGCUUCUGACUGGUGAAACUUGCAGAGCUGGAAUUUUAAUUUUCUGUGCAAGGCCCAUUAGAAACAAUAUAUCAGUGACUGAUAUUCCUUCCAGACACACUGGUAAAAUGCAGGUUUCUAUCCCUGUUAUCUUUGUACUUCCUAGCUCUAAAUAUACAGGAUUUAUGAGCACCAGAGGAUGAAUGAGCUGGGUCUGAGCUGUUUUGUUGUGCUUCUCAUUAAGGGUGAUGCAGAGGCAGGUACAUUGGAAUGGCUCACAGAUGUUCAGACCUGCAUUAUGCCCUUUCCUUGUCCAGUAUUAAUCUGAUAAACCUCCAGAAAUGUGGUGGACAGGGUUUUGGCCACCAGUGUAACCAGCCUGCCCUGGAGAGAAAGCUUUUAGCCUCCAGCUUGUCACCCCCUGGGGGAGAAACCCUAGUUAAAAGUUUUCUGGAGCCCAUACAAAUCUUAUUUAUCCCAUUGGUUCUUCCCCUUUGCUCUGCCCUGGAAGCUCCAGUUGAUAAAAACCCCUGUUUGCCCUGGCUUUGUGGCUUUUCAUCACUGCACCCCUUCAGAAGGAGCUGAAUAAAGCCCCCCAAAGAAUUUUAUACAAAGUCUCUGUCUCUUUCCUUCAGUGCUGCCUGAAGAAUUGGAUUCUCUCAGCACCAAUUUUCGGAGCUCUGAGCUGAAACUGCAGAAGCAGCUGCAGAUGUUCCUGUGCCUCCAAGGCAUCCAUCCCCAAGACGCUUUUCUGGGAAGGUUGUGGUGCCUUGAGUUAAGAAAAUUAGGAAAUUAAGAUUUUAACUAGAAUAGGAGCAACUUAAAAAAAUUUAGAUAAAAGAAACAUAUGAAACUUUAAGGAGAAAAGUUGUGUUUGUAGAAGGAGACAUGAAGAAUAGACUAUUGUGGAAAAGAAGAGGACCAUGUCUGCACCUGCAAGCAAGAGAUCUGAACUGUGUUCAAGAGAACCAGGAGAGAUACCAACAGGACACAGCUGAAAAGUUCAAGCCCAAGGAAAAGAAAGAUUUUAUCAAAAAGACCCCAGACCCACUUUAAUAGAAGAUCUGAGCAUGCCCAGAGGGGCGUGGAGCUCAUUACCAUACACGACAAGAGCAGGCAGAGUCAGGCCAUGAAUAUGUAUAUUCAUAUAUUCAUAUAUUGUAUAGGCAUACAGUGUAAUCCUAUGCAUUUGUAAUACUUUGGGGAGUAAAUAGAGAAUAAAGGGCAGUGGGAGGCAUGCAUGUCUUUAGGAGAGGACUCUGGCCUGUUGCCCAGCCAUAAUAAAGCAUUAGCCAUAAUAAUAAAGCCAUAAUAAAUAAUAAUAAAUAAUAAAGCCAUAAUAAAGCA